GAUGUGGAGGGGGUUAGGCAGCAUUAAACAAACACAGGGAGAGGGAGAGAUUAAGUUCAAUCACUGUGGUUCAGUCGUGGUCCAUUUCCACAGGCCCCACACAGGACUAGGGAGGGGGUAUGGGAGACAGUGGGCCUCAAGCUGAGGCUGAAUCUUGGGUUCCUCACGGAUAAGCUGUGUGAUCUUGGGCAAGUCACUUGGCCUCUCUGAGUUUUUGUUUGGAAAAAGAUUUAAGGUGACUUGCAAACAGAGGUAACGCCCAGAAAAACAUCUCAAGGAAAUGACCGAGGAAAUGGGGGAGAACAAGCCGAUACCGGUGAGUAAAGCCACAGAGGCUGUGCUCGGAGGCUCCACACACUUGCUAGGAGGUCCUCCAGCAAUCUGAGUCUCAGUCCAGCAGCCAAUAAAAAGAACUAAAUGCAUCUAGUUUCAGAUUCUCAGGACUCACAAAAUCGGGCAAGGUGCUACUGGAUUCAAGGAGAGAAAGGUCUCCACGGGUCUUCUUAGAGAGGACGUGGGCACUGGGGAAGCCUGUUCUGAAGUAUUUAUUCAAGAGCAUCUUUCAAAAAGUGGCCAACACCUGCCAACCAAUGUGUCAUGGCCGCAUGCCGUCGCAGCUGCUGGGGCAGUGUCAUCAACGGCCUUAACAAAAUCUACGGAGUCCGCACGGCAGGGCGCUGGAAGGAGCCAUUUUAAAACGAAACGCUCCGCAAUGUAGAAGACCCACACAGCCUCUAGGAGGAAGGGGACCAUUCACUGGUCGUGGAGGCUCCCACACAGGCUGGGACCCAAAUGCAGCUUAGAAACUCAUGGAUUCUUACGAUUUCAUUGCUCUUCACCUCACCCCAUGUCACCGGUGAAGACAGCCUGGUACAAGAUACAAGAUUAGCAUUGGAAGGCAUACCAUUCCAGGUGGUGCUGGAGUUUGAAAGAAGUGUGUCGAAAGCGGAGUCGUAAGCUGAUAGAUGAUCUAGCACAGUUUGCUUUGCUAGAAGCCACCAUCUGGGGGGAAGCCUGCUUUCUGUGGUGGAGACAAGCUCCUUAUCUCAUCAAGGUGUGACUUUCAACACGUGUGUCUGUUGGGUUGUUUAUCCUUUCCUAGCACGCUUUUUAGAACUCUGUACAUUGCAGAUUUCAACACUUUAUUGGCCGUGUUGGUGACAGUGUUUUUCCCCAAACAAUUAUUUUUACAUUGAGCUUGCAAUGGCCUAUUCUGAAAAAAUUUGAAAAAUUUAUGUCAUCAGACGUGUUUAUCUUUCUUUGAUAGCUUCUGAAUUCCUGGGCCAUUAUGGCUAGUCUAAGGCAAAGCUAUUGAUUUUUGUGUGUUCCAGAAGUUUCUUUUUCUUGGGUUUUCUAGGUGUCUGGACAUGCAAAGUUUUACCGAUGUUUUUUCUUGUUGUAUUCAUCAUUUUUGUUAGACCCUCUAAUAUAACAUUAAAUUAUAAUGAUGGUGGCAGGCUUCUAUAUUUGGUUUCUGAACCUCAUUGGUUUAGUUUUAAUAUUUUACCAUUUGGGGGGAUAUUUUUUGAGGAUUUUUGGUAACAGAUUUCAUCACAAAUAGUUCCAUGAUUUCCCUUACUUUGGAACUAACUGCUGCACUUUUAUCAAAUAAUUCCUCAAUUAUUGCAAUCAUUUGGGUAUUGUUCUUUAAUUUUUUUAAAGUUUUUACUUAUUUAUUCCUUUAAGCAAUCUCUACACCCAGUGUAGAGCUUGAACUCACAACCCCGUGAUCCAGAGUCACGUGUUCUCCCCGCUAAGCCAGCCAGGUGCCCCUGGUUUCUGUUCUUUAAUUUGUCAAUCAAACGUAUUAGGAGAAUGGAGCUUCUAAUUUGUACCACCUUUGCGUGUUUACGUAAUAUCACGUGACCAUAGAUUAUUACUCUUCUGAUGCACUGCUGAAUUUUAUUCAGUCAUGUUAGGGUUUUUACGAACUUACAUAAGUAAGAUCCAC
rnacentral:lncRNA from 1 species